UACAAUGUCAGCUGUCUUUCCUUUAUGCUGUGCUGGGAUUGACAUACUUUUUUUUUUUCCUUUUUUUUACACACAUUACUAAUUGCACACAUUUUGUGUACUCACAGUGCCCUUCACUGAGCAGGAACUUUGUUGCUGUUUGCAUCUAUUGGGAUUGUUGUCAAAGGUAUUAAGGAUUAUCAUUAGAUGAAGCUCAUCAAUCAUUAUUAUUGUGGAUAAGCUUCAUUUGAUCUGCCCUUCAAGAACAUCAAAAUAAGAAUAACAACUAUUUCAUCUCACUUGUUCUAAAUAAAGAAAAAAAAAUCCUAUAGCCUCUAGUAGGCAUAGGACAUUGUGAAAACAUUGCCAAGUGGUUCACACUAGGAAUUCUUUUUGAAAAGGUGAUAUUGGCUAUUAAAUUUCAGUUUUGUGUAGUAAUUAUAAAUUUUUAAGGUUGAUAUAUUUGAUCAGAAUAAAUACUUAAAAUGGAGACCUAUCUAGAAGUCAAUUGUCACUGUUAACCCAAAUUUUGUUAGGUUAGGGAUUUUCACUGAGAAAGCGAACUUUUCAAAAACAUAACUUUAUGUAUGUUUUUUGAGAAAAGAAAUUAAACCUUUUAAACAACAACAAGACAUUGCUUGAUGCUCUAUCUCAGGAGACAAUUAUAUGUGUCAGUCUGCAAAUAUGGAGGAAAUCUCUACACUUGGAAAUAUAUCACAUCUCACAGGAAAGGCUUAUCACCUCCACUGCCAUUUGAUGCUAUAGUCUCAAGGCCAAGGCUUUGCUGUCUUUAAUAACAAAUAACAAAAGCUGCUGUUGAAAUAAGUUCUACCAGAUUCAUGCUGUACUUUAUAGAAUGCAAAACGGCUUGACUUUAGUAAGAUCCUUGUCCUUUUCAUACCUUGAAAUUUUUGGUGAAAAUGAAUGUGAAUGGAACAUGGUUAUCUCUUUCAUUUCUUUAAUCCUUUCAACUUCACCCUUGGUGAGGAGGGAUAUUUUAGUGUAUAAAUGCCAUGAGCAUUAACAGGAGAUGACCUUGUUUUUAUUUUUUGUCAGUGUUAAGCUCCAAAGAAGAAAGAGUCACUGUACUCCUCUGGCAGGAACUAGAAGAGAUCAAAGGACUAGCGGCUGGAUAAAGCCUGGACCCUGGAGGAGAGAAAGAGAGUGGGAGCGAGGGAACCAAGGGAAAGGGACUUCCAGCUGACCCUCCAGAUGUCCCGAGCCAUACAUGCAGUAUCUUACAUCAAAGACAUUACAUAUGUUGUAUUAGUUUUGUUAGAUAUUCUGGUUCAGUGAGACUAUGGCGCAUCUGAAUUCUGUAUAGUUCCAGGUUUGGCCUUGAGGACUCUUAAUUUCUGAGGAGAAGGACCAGGCAGCUGCUGGAAUUCUAGUUGGUAUGACUGUCACAUCCACGCUCCUCCACAUUCCUACGCCAAGAAGUGGAAAAAAUAUAUACAAAGAAGGAGAGGCAGCCUGAGAGAAGAAAAUUAAGUACUUGACUAGUUUUUCCUUCUCAAUCUCUGAGCCAAUAAUUAUUGAUUGAAUCAUUCAUGCCUUAAAUCAUUCAUGACUGUAAUGCUGUGGCAGCCUUCAUAAGCAAACCAAAAUCUAAGCCUACAAAUGCUUCAAGGUUACAAAAUCAAAAUGCUAGAAACGACCAAUCACAAAUAGCCAACUAGGCUUUAAACUAUAGCCAAUCAAUAAUUUCCUUGGUUUGCUUCUGACUUUUCUCUAUAAAAACCUUUCCUCCCCCCACCACCUCCUGUUAGGUGGAGAAUUCCUACCCCCUUCCAGUUUGGCACUGCUGAUUGAAAUAGAUUUUUGUUCAAAUAAAGUCUUAAAAUUACAACAACGAGAAGAAUGAUGUGAAGAUGUGUCUCAGAAAUAGACAGAAGAUAAUGGAAACACUGGUUUUGAGUCAGAAGGCCUGAGUUUGAGGUCCAGUUCUAGAGCAUGUAUAAUCCCAGGUGGCCCCUUAAGUACCCUUAGACUCUGACCUGCAGUUUCUCCCAAUUUUUACUGGAGAUUUUUAUUUUUACUUUUAUUUCUGAUGUUCUCUGCCUCUGCAUCCCUGUCUCUGACUCCCUCCCUUUGAUCAUUCUAGAAUAGAGGCUAUAAUUUUGGGACUUGUUGAUUCUUUUCUAUUUUAUUUUCAGAUUUCAAAACUAUUUAUUGAUCCUACUCUUAUUUUUAUCUCCUUACUUCUACUCUUUUGGUGUUAUUUUUCUAAUUUUUUAAGUUAGAUAUUUAGAUAAUUAAUAUUUUCAACUUUUGUUUUUAGGUACCAAGUUAGAUACCUAAGUUAUUAAUUUUCAGCCUUCUAUUUUUUCUAACAUAUGUACAUUAGACUUUAAAUUUUCCUCUAGGUAUUAUUUUCAUUGACUCCACAAGUUUAGACAUGCUGUGUUUUCAUUUUCAUUCUUCAUAUUUUUUACAAAAUUUUCAACAGCUAAUAUAGAUACAUGCAUAAUUUAUAAAUUAAAACUAUGGAAUAUGAUGCAGACUGAGGAUCUGGUGCCUACCUUCCCUACUCACUCCAUUCCCCAGCUUUUUGUGAGUUAUGACUUCUAUUAGUUAUUCAUGCAUUCUUUAAAAUUUUUUUAAAUAUUUAUUUAUUUUUGAGAGAGAGAAAGACAUAGUACAAGCAGGGGAGGGGCAGAGAGAGAGGGAGACACAGAAUCUGAAGCAGGCUCCAGGCUCUGAGCUGUCAGCACAGAGCCCGAUGAGGGGCUCAGAACUCACAAACCGCCAGAUCAUGACCUGAGCCGAAGUCGGAUGCUUAACCGCCUGAGCCACCCAGGCGCCCCUAAAAUCUUACUUUUCUUAGAGCAGUCUUAGGCUUGCAACAAAACUGAGAGUAAGGUACAUAGAUUUCCCAUAAUUUCCCUCCCCACACUCUUGCACAGCCUUACCAACAUCAUAUUACCGUAUUACCAACAUCACUUAUCAAAAUGGUACAUUCUUUCACAAGGAUGAACCUACAUCAAUCCAUCAUAAUCACCCAAAGUCUGUACUGUACCUUAGGGUUCACUUUUGCUUUCGUACAUUCUAUGAGUUUGGACAAAUGUAAUGUGGCACCCCUUAUCGUAACACAACAUUUUUCUCUGCCUUAAAAAGCCACGGUCCUCCACUUAUUUAUCUCCCACUCUCCACCCCCGGUAACCACUGACAUUUUUGUUGUCUCCAUAGUUUUUUUGCUUUUUCCAGAAUGUCAUAUAGUUGGAAUAAAAUAGUAUGUACCCUUUUCAGAUUGGCUUCUUUCACUUAGCAAUAUACAUGUAAGAUCCCCCCAUGUCUUUUUUUUUAAUGUUUAUUUAUUUUUGACAGAGAGAAAGAGACAGAGUGUGAGUGGGGGAGGGGCAGAGAGAGAGGGAGACACAGAAUCCGAAGCAGGCUCCAGGCUCCAAGCUGUCAGCAGAGCCCAAUGUGGGGCUCCAAUCCACAAACUGCGAUGUCAUGACCUGAGCCUAAGUCGGACACUUAACUGAUUGAGCCACCCAGGCACCCUGCUCCAUGUCUUUUUGUGCCUUGAUAGCUUAUUUCUUUUUAGCACUGAAUGAUAUUCCAUUGUCUGGAAGUACCACAGUUUAUCCAUUCACCUACUGAAACACAUCUUGGGAAAUUAGGAAUAAACCUGCUAUAAACAUCCAUGUGCAGGUUUUUGUGUGAACAUAAGUUUUCAGCUCCUUUGGGCAAAUACCAAGGAGCACAACUGCUGGAUUAAAUAGUAGAACUAAGUUAGUUUUUAUAAGAAACUGCCAGGCUAUCUCCUAAAGUGGCUGCAUUUUGCAUACCCAACAUCAAUUGAUGAGAGUUUUUGUUGCUCCACAUUCUUGCCAACACUUGGUGUUGUCAGUGUUGCAAAUUUUGGCCGUUCUCAUAGGAGUGUAGUGGUAUCUCAUUUAAUUUGCAUUUUCCUGAUGACAAAUGCUGUGGAGCCUCCUUUCAUAUGCUUAUUUCCCACCUGCACAUAUUUGGUGAGGUGUCUCUCUCAAGGUGUUUGGCCCAAUUUUUAAUUGAGGUUUUUGUUUCCUUAUUGUUGAGUUUGAAGAGGUUUUUAAAAUAUAUUUUAGAUAGCACUCUUUUAUCAGAGGGAUAUUUUGCAAGUAUUUUCUCCCAGUCUGUAGUUUGUCUUCUAAUUCUUUUCUAUUGCCUUUCAUAGAGUGGAAAUUUGUAAUUUUAAGGAAGUCCAGCUUAUCACUUCUCUCUUUCAUGUCUUUAGUGCUAUAUCUAAAUAGUCAUCCCCAUACCCAAGGUCAUCUAGAUGUCUUCCUAUGUUAUCUUCUAGGAAUCUUAUAGUUCUGCAUUUUACAUGUAGGUCUAUAAUCAAUUUUGAGUUAAUUUUUAUAAAGGGUGUAAAGUCUGUGUCUAAUUCCUCUCUCUCUCUCUCUCUCUUUCUUUCUUUCUUUUUUUUCUUUGUACAUAGAAAAAUAUCUGGCUGUUCCAGCAUCAUUUGUUGAAGAGACUAUCUUUGUAUUUUUUGUCAAAGAUCAGUUGACUAUGUUUAUGGUGAUCUAUUUUGGGCUUUCUACUCUGUUCUAUUGAUCUAUUUGUCUGUUGUUUCACCAAUAACUCACUCUCUUAAUUACUGAGGUUUUAUAGUAAGUCUAGAAGUUGAGUAGUCUCAGUCCUUCAACUUUUUUCUUUUUUAUAUUGGAUGGGCUACCUAGAUCUUUUGCCUCUCCAGAAAACCAUUAGUUUGUUGUUAUCCAUAAAAUAACUUGCUGUGAUUUUGACCAGGAUUAUGCUGAAUCUAUAGAGAAAUUUGGGAAGAAAUGACAUUUGACAAUAUUAAGUUUUUCCAUCUUUGAAUAUGGAAUUUCUUUCCAAUUAUUUAGUUCUUUGAUUUUGUUCACAAGAGUUUUAUAGUCUUGCUCAUAUAUAUCUUGUACAUAUUUUGUUAGAUUUAUAUAGAAGUUUUUAUUUUGGAGGAUGCUAAUAUAAAUGGUAUUAUGUUUUUAAUUUCAUAUUCCGGAUAUUCAUUGUUAGUAUAUAGGAAAGCAAUCAACUUUUAUAUAUUAACCUUGUAUCCUGCCAUCUUGCUAUAAUCACUUAUUCAUUCCAGAUUUUUGUUGAUUCCUUUGGAAUUUUUUACACAAUUGUGUUAUCUGUGAACAAAGACAAUUUUGUAUCUUUUUUCUUAAUCUGGAUACCUUUUACUGCUCUUUCUUCCCUCCUUUCAUUAGCGAGGGCAUCCAAGGUGAUGUAGAAAAGGAGAAAAGGAGUGGUGAGAGGGUCUAUUGUUUGUUUUUUUAUGUAAAUAUGAGCAGAUCUGAAUACCUUUUCUUAAUUUCCCUUUUUCUUACACAAAAGGGAACAUAUCCUGUAUACUUCCUUUCCUUGUUCUAGACACUGUGCCUUAUUGAUAGAAAGUGUCUUAGAGCCUCAAGGAGGGCACUUGUUGGGUUGAGCACAGGGUGUUAUAUGUAAGUGAUGAAUCACUAAAAUCUCCUGAAAUCAUUUACACUAUAUAUUAACUAAUGUGGAUUUAAAUAAAAUUAAAAAAGUAAAAGAGCACCUAAGGAAGAAGAUUCUAGUCAAAAAGGAGUGGGAAGACAUAUAGGGUCCCAAUAAUUUGGCAAACUAGUUAAAAUUAAACUUUUAGUUAUAAACUUGCUUGAACAUACUUUAUAAACAAUGGAUUAAAUCUUAAUUGUUAAAAAAAAAGUGUCCUAGAAAUUUCAUUCUUAUGAUGGCUACAAAAUAUUCCAUUGUGAGCAAGAACCAAAAAUUGUUUCUCUAGUAUUCUAUUGAGGGACAGGCAUUAUUUCCUCUCUGUUGCUAUUGUAAUCAUUGUUGUAAUGAAUAACUUUGCAUAUAUGUCAUUUUGUACAUAGCAUAGAUGUAUGCUAAGAGAAAUUCCCAGGAAAGAAUUGCUGGGCCAAUGAAUAGAUGCAUAUCUAUUUUGAUUAGCAUUAUCAAAUUGCCAUCCACAGGGGAAUUGUUUUGUACUAUCACCAUCAGAGUAUGAGAACGUCUAUUUCCUAAUAGUUUUAUCAACAGGCUAGAGUUUUAGAAUUUCUGAAGAUUGAAAUAUACUCUUAAAUUUUUUUUAGAUAGAUGGUGGGGAGAAGCAGAUGGAGAGGGCGAGAUCUUAAGCAGUCUCCAAGAUCAGUGCCGGGCUCAACAUGGGGCUUGAUCUCAUGACCCCUGAGAUCAUGACCUGAGCUGAAAUCAACAAUCAGGCACUGAACUAACUGAGCCAUCCAGGUGCCCUGAAAUAUACUGUUAAUAUUUAUUAAAAGUUCUUGUUCUUGGGGCAUUUAGAAGUGUUUAAUUUCCCAAUAUAUAUGGAUAUUUGUUUUUCACAUGUUUAUUGGUUACUGAUUUCUAAUCUGAUUGCAUUCUGAGUCAGUAAACAUGAUCCAUAUUAUACCAUUUCUUUGAAAAUUGUUAAGACUUGCUUUCUGGACAAGCACAUGGUCAACAUUUGUAGAUGUUUCGUUUGUGCUUAAGAAGAAUGUAUGUUCUGUGAUUUUUGGGUUUGGAGUUCUCUCUCUGUCCAAUUAGAUCACGCUUGUUACUUCUUCUAUUCAAAUAUUUUAUAUCUUUUUUUGACUUCUUUUCAUCUGCUUGACUUAUUAUUGAGAGAUGAGUGUUGAAAUCUUCUAUUACAACAGUAGAUUUCUCAAUUUCAGCCACUAGUUCUAUCAUUUUUAUAUUGUAAGGCAAUUAUUUUAGGUACAUCUUUCUAUUGUUUAAUAAUACGUUUUGCAUUAAAAAUAUUUUAAAAAUAUAAGUAAAAAUGUAAAAACUACAAAAACACACAGAAUAAACAUUGCUUUCAUGUAAUUAUACCACUCCAAAGUAACUGCUGCUUAUUUAAUAUGAUGAUGUGUUUCUCUUUCUGUAUCUUUGUAAUGAUAUUUAUGUAGAGAGACCCAUAUGCGAGGAGGCAUUCAUGCUCCACUAUCCCAAGUGAAGAAUUUCCAGGCAAGUGGUUUGUUCAACCCCUUAGUACAGAUGUGGAUGCUCUUCCCUCUCAUCCCAUUGGAUGUUCAGAAGUCACUUUGGUUUUAUUUUGAUCAUAAUGAAUGCUAAAAGAAAAUAUUCUUAUAGAGUAGAACUGACAGGAGGUGAUGAUGGAGUAGUUGGUAGGGGUGUGAAAAAUAAGAAUCUGAGAAAACAUCUAGAUUUUUGUUAGAAAUGGCAAUGCUAUUUACCAGGACAAAGAACCCAUGAGAGAAACAGGUUUACAGAGGUUGUAAAUUAAGAAUUCUGUUUUGGAUAUAUUAACUUUAAGAUUCCUAUUGGAUAUUCUAGUGGAGAUAACAAGCAGACAGUUGGAUUAUGUAAAUAUUGGUUUCAGGGAAGAAAUAUAUAUGGAUACAUAAUUUCAGGAGUCAUUAGUAUAGAAACAAUAUUAAGUCCAUGGGUAUAGAUGAAAUCACCUAUAAAGAACAAAUACUUGGCGUAUGGCAUUAAAGUUAGGAUUAGAAAAAAAA